rnacentral:lncRNA from 1 species
GCUGCCGCCGCCCCUCCCCCACCCAGCCUGGCUGCCCGGGCUCCGGCCUCGCGCCGCUGCCGGCUCCAGCAGCCCGAAAGCGUACUGCUGCCGCCGCCGUCUGAGCGCGAAAGAAGAGAAGGUCGCCGAUCUGCGCUGCCACGAGAACUUCACCGGUGCCCAGGGCCUUGCCACCGCCAGUUCGUGGGGUUGACCCAGCGUUUGGGCGAGAGGGAGCGAGGGGUUGGGUCGCGAAGGUUUCGCUGAAAUGUAGUGUCACCGGAGUUAAUGGCUUCUGAUGGCUUAGGUUAACGUUUACUGUGAUUCUUUGGAAGUCUUGUCUUCAGCGAUAGACCGUCAGGCCCGAGGAUUCAGCAACAGGGUCUCAAACUUCCACGCAGCAGCCCAUGCUCACGUUAUUGGGCCCCCGAGGCUCGAUUAAUAGAGCACCAACAUGUGCCAUGUUACGUUUUUAAAAUAAAGUGGUGACCCUGCUCCUUCAGCUGGGCUUCCUUUCAGAGGAAUCUAGGUACCCCCGAUAUGACAGGCGUCUCUUCAUUGUUCAGUUUCUGGGGCACGUUCUAUCAUCUUCACACACCUCAUCAACCCCCUUCCCAUAAAAGAGAAAAUGGAUGAAUAAGGAGGUGCUGAAACCCAAAAAGGCGACAAUAUUGUUUACGUUCAGGCUUAAAAACAAUCUGAAUCAAUUCUGUUCUCCGUAGUAUUGAGGAGAGCCAUGUUGUGAUUAAGUGCAAAAGAUUUCCUUGCAAGAUACAUAGACUCUUGCAUCCGAUUUACUUGCAGGUUGUUUUUGUUCUAAUAUUGUCAUUCCCUGUACACAUCCUUUACUGAUGACUGGGAAUUGGAGAGGAGGCCCUUAAAUGUCAGGAGAGUAAGUCAGCCUUAGCUUAAAAAUCAAGCAGAAAAGUCUCAUGUUCAUUGGCACACUUGUAACUACAUUCCAGUCUCCCAGUCUGCAUUAUUUCUAGAAGCUCUGCAUAUCUAACUGCCUACCACAUGACAAAAGUCAUUGUCAUUGAUCCUGCUUCACCAAAUAAAAAGUAAAAAUAUUGAGGGCCACCUCUCACCAGUUCACCCAGGGAGACUGGUAAGCAAGGAGUGCCCGGUCCCUAGUGAGAUUUAUGUUGAACAUUUGUGAAGAGUAGAUAUAAGAAACUUUUAGCCUUCCCAAUAUGUCUUUAUAAAAUGUGCCAAAUUUAAGAAUAAGUCUCUAAUGUUGAGACUCCGUAAGCCAAAGUGGGGGGGGCGGUGGGGAGGCGGGGAAGAACACACUGUUUUCCUACUGUUGAGAUCAUUAGUUUCCAUGAAAAGUUCAGGGGAAAUAAAUACUGAACUCUGAAUGAAAUAGCAAGUUAUAUAAAUCUUGAAAAAUAAAUAUUACCUAGGUUAACACUAGACUUAACCACAAGAGAUUUCAAUCAUGAAACCUGACAUAACCUAGUUGACAAGUAUAGCUUAAGCAAGUAAGACCUCAUUGCUGAUGGAGAAGACCCCUUUUCCUUUGCUUGUCUGUUUUGCAAAAUUCAUUUUUCCUUCAUGAGAGUAAAAACAAUUUAGGGGUUAUUGCAGAUGUCCAAAUGCAGCCAGCAAUUUUAAAGUCAUUGAUGAUACCGUCAGUUAUCACACUCCUACACCAGCAAUGAAAAUACUGUAUACAUAGUAUUACAUAUAUCCACUCUUCUAAAGGCAAGUCUGAGUUUUUAAAGAAUCAUGUUGUUUAAAAAAAAAAAAGUUGCAAAUGUAUCCAUUAAUUAUAAUUAUAUGCACUUAAAAACAUAGAAAAAGAAUAUUUGAAAAAGAUUGCAACUAUUCUGUUAAGAUACUGGUUUUACGUAUGAUUUUCUCCAUUGUAUUCUGUUGCAUUAUAUUUACAAUUAAAUAAAAAUUAUAAAGGAACUGGUGCCUGAAAAAGUUAAGGUCAAAUUUCAAA